rnacentral:snRNA from 1 species
AUAGUUAACUGGCAGAGAAGAUGCUGUAAUUCUAAAAGGAAGGUUAACUAACAGCACUCAGGGUGUACUAAUCCCUAUAAAGGCUGAUCCCCCAAAUAUAAAAAAUGAGACUGCAUAAUUUGUGGUAGAGGGGUACUGCAACUGCUCUUUCUCCUG